UCUCGAUCCAAAUACUUUCUCUAUGAUGUCCAUUCGUGGAUUUUGCCCAAGUUAAAUAGAUGUUCUCAUUCCUUCAUCAUUCUCUCACUCCAAACUCUCCUCUCCGUGAUAGGUCCUUGAUUUAUGAGUGAUAGGGGCUAUUUAUUGAAGAAUUUCGGUGUAAUCAAGAAAGGAGCUGAAGCUGAUUGCAAAUAUGGUGAUUUGUCUAUAUAGGCAGAACGGCUGUUACCAUUCCAGUAUAAAAUAAGUCUAUUUGUACAAGCAUGGGACCAAGUCUCACCUGCAAAAUAGUUGAGAAAUAAACUCAGAGAUUGGUUUCUGCAGUAAUGGAAAUUCCUAAGGACCAUUUCAUGAUAAACUUGCAAGAAGGUCUUACAAUAGUUUCCAAAACAGAGAUAAAGUACAGUGACUUCUGAUGAGCCUAUAAAUUGUCCAUAUUAUUCCAUGUUUUAUGCCAUUUUACCUCAUGUUUAUGAUGUCCUUUCAAGUCAUUUCCAAACAUUACUUUGGUUACAUGAAGCAUCAACUAGGAUUAAUGGUGUUUGAUUAGCAUUUGCAUGUCUAGCUAGUUGAUGCUAAAUAAUGGUAAUAUAUUAAGAUGAAUGGUUAUUAUUAAAU